GAACUGCGAUAAGUAAUGUGAAUUGCAGUAUUCAGUGAAUCAUCGAGUCUUUGAACGCACAUUGCGCCCCCUGGCAUUCCGGGGGGCAUGCCUGUCCGAGCGUCAUUGCUGCCCUUCAAGCCCGGCUUGUGUGUUGGGUCGUCGUCCCCUCCGGGGGACGGGCCCGAAAGGCAGCGGCGGCACCGCGUCCGGUCCUCGAGCGUAUGGGGCUUUGUCACCCGCUCGAUAAGGACCGGCCGGGCGCCAGCCGGCGUCUCCAACCUUUUUUUCUCAGGUUGACCUCGGAUCAGGUAGGGAUACCCGCUGAACUUAAGC
rnacentral:misc_RNA from 1 species